rnacentral:tRNA from 1 species
GGGGUUGUGGCUGUAUGGAAAAGCUUCUGCUUUGCAUGCAGAAGAUCCCAGAUUCAGACCCUGACAUAUCCA